AAGUAUACAUCAUAAAAAGUUUUUAAAACUUUUUCCUCAGGGUUUUGUUAUGUUGGCAUGUUGUGCAACAUACGAACUGCAAGAAACUUCUUGAUAAUAACAUAUUUGAAUAGCUAUUAUAUAAUGUCUAUGGAGUGGUCAACUGUGAAAGUUGAGUUUAUGUUCCAGGUAGCUUGAAUAGUGUAUUUUUCUGCGAGACUAAAUUCAAGCAGGAAAAGGCAAUGGGAAAACCAAAAGGCUUACUGAUGGCAGAGUCUAGGAAGAGGAAAAAAGAAGAUCCAGAAAAGUGGGCCUUGUAACUGUAAUUGUGAUAGGAAAAAGAAAGCAAAAAAAAAAAAUUGUCAGGUCAUACUUUUAACAAAAAUGAAAUAGAAAAGAAGAGGGCAAAGGCUAGAGCUCACCAGCAAAAAUUUAGAUAACGAAAAAGAUUAGCAGCCAAUAAACGUGAUUCCCCAAUUUCCAAGUUUGGCUCUUAUCAAAGACCACAAACUCUUGGGAAAGCAGUGAAGAAGGCUGUUUCAGCACUGCCAUCAAGUCCACGAAAACGUAUAGCAGUAGUUCAAGAGCUGGCUAGAAGUACAUUUAGCCCUGAAGUAUGCAAGAUCUUCCAAAACACAAAAAUGCACCAGUGAGUCGGAAUGAAGAUAUAUGCUCUUUAGUGACAGAUUUUUACAAUUAUGAUGAGAUAAACUCCUGGUAAAAGAGAUGUAAAGUCCAUUAAAUCUCCCGUUACUGGAAAAAGGAAACAAGUUCGAUCCGUCACAUGCUUAUGAAUAUUGGUGAAGCAUAAGCCGAAUUUACUGAAAAAUACCCAGGAAUAAAGAUGUCUUGCACCAGGUUUUUCAUGCUUCGACCACCUCAAGUCCUUCCAGCUAGUAUGACUCCACAUAAUGUUUGCAUAUGCAGACAACAUCUGAAUUUUUAAUUCAUGGUUGAAGCACUUGCUUAACAAGUGGGUGAAUUUCCAUAAAAGACUAAAAAAGUGUUAUGUUCUGUGUGUUGUAACACUAAAAAUGAAAACUGCAUGCUCAACUACUGCAGGGACUGUUUGUAUGAUUUAAGGCAGUUGUUACCAAAUACCCUAAAUCCAAGCGCUAGAAAUAAGUGUGAGAAAUGGGAAAUUAUAGCAGUAACACAAGUGGGGUUUCUGACGGGGAAGUUUUAGUAAUAUUAAUGAAACCAUAUGGUGAGGACCAAACAAAAUACACCACGAAUACUCAAAAUGAAAAAUACAUUGCUUUCGAAAAAAUAAAAAUUUAAAAAAAUAAAAACAUUUUACCUGCACCUAACAUACAGCAAAUGGAGAUAGUGUAUUUUAUGUCUUCAAAAAACCAGUGUUUUAGUUGUAGUUUAGUGAAAUUUAACAUUUAUAUAACAUACUAAGUUAUGAUUAUUUAUUUAAUAUCUAUUAAGGUUUUUUUUUGCAUAGAUAAAUGUUGUUAUUUGUUUUGUACAUUUUUAGUCUGUUUAUUGCAUAAUUCUUCUUAAUUAUUUGAAAUAUCACAACAUGUUACAUUAUCAACAAUCAGUAAUCAUACUGGUCACAUCCGUUACUUCAGGGUGUCACAUCCAUUACCCAAAUAAAAAUUCAUAUUCUCUUUUCAGUUGUAGAUGUAUUAAUUUUAAUGAUAUUUAAUGAUUGUUUGUUCUUUUAUCAGAACAAUAAAAAAUAUUGUUACAAUCACUUGUACCGGUACCAGAUCAGACGAAUUAGAAGUAGUUUGUGUACGUCUCAUGACACUUAGCCGUAUGAGUCAUGUCCGUUACCAGCCGUAAUAAGACAUUUCUUAUAUCAGUAUUUCCUUUUUUGUUUUAAGAGUUACAAGAGAGGCAAAAAGUACUGAAAUGUACGUGGUCCUCAAAUUAAAAAUCCAAUAACAUGAUUAUUCUAUAUUUUUAGUGAUAGUAAAUAUGUGUAACUGUCACAUCCGUUAUUUUGGAAUGGCAGAGCUACGUACAUACACUAAGUUGAAGCUGUGAAUUCAGAUUUAUACUUACAGACUGCUUCUUGUCCGCACUGCCUGAAAUUUGUCCUGGAAACUGAUACUGGGAUCUAGAACAGAAAAAAAUUCUACUAACAUUUUCACAAUGAUUCUUAUAUACAUGUUUUUAAUCUAACAGUUAGCACUCGUACACUAUUAAGGCAGCAACUCUCCUCUAUCUUGCAUAAGUUUGCUUGCAUUGCAUUCAAAUGC